rnacentral:misc_RNA from 1 species
GAUGAAGAACGCAGCGAAAUGCGAUAAGUAGUGUGAAUUGCAGAAUUCAGUGAAUCAUCGAAUCUUUGAACGCACAUUGCGCCCCAUGGUAUUCCGUGGGGCAUGCCUGUUCAAGCGUCAUUUACCCCCUCAAGCUCCGCUUGGUGUUGGGCGUCUGUCCCGCUUCGCGCGCGGACUCGCCCCAAAGGUAUUGGCAGCGGUCGUGCCAGCUUCUCGCGCAGCACAUUGCGCUUCUCGAGGCACCGGUGGGCCCGCGUCCAUCAAGCUCACCCCCCCAGUUUGACCUCGGAUCAGGUAGGGAUACCCGCUGAACUUAAGCAUAUCAAUAAGCGGAGGA